AUUGAACGCUGGCGGCAUGCCUUACACAUGCAAGUCGAACGGCAGCACGGGAGCAAUCCUGGUGGCGAGUGGCGAACGGGUGAGUAAAGUAUCGGAACGUGCCCAGUCGUGGGGGAUAACGUAGCGAAAGUUACGCUAAUACCGCAUACGAUCUAUGGAUGAAAGCGGGGGAUCGCAAGACCUCGCGCGAUUGGAGCGGCCGAUAUCAGGUUAGGUAGUUGGUGGGGUAAAGGGUAACCAAGACGACGAGCUGUAGCUGGUCUGAGAGGAGGGCCGGCCACGCUGGGACUGAGACACGGCCCAGACUCCUACGGGAGGCAGCAGUGGGGAAUUUUGGACAAUGGGCGAAAGCCUGAUCCAGCCAUGCCGCGUGCAGGAUGAAGGCCUUCGGGUUGUAAACUGCUUUUGUACGGAACGAAAAGGUUUGGCCUAAUAAGCUGAGCUCAUGACGGUACCGUAAGAAUAAGCACCGGCUAACUACGUGCCAGCCGCCGCAGUAA
rnacentral:rRNA from 1 species